UAGAAUUAUAGACCUGAGAGACGAUGUAUU
rnacentral:piRNA from 1 species